rnacentral:rRNA from 1 species
CCAAUAGCGUAUAUUAAAGUUGUUGCAGUUAAAAAGCUCGUAGUUGAAUUUUAGGCCUGGCCGGGCGGUCCGUCUUUGGCGAGUACUGUCCUGUGUCGGGUCCACCUUCUGGUGAACCAGUAUGUCCUUUAUUGGGUGUGCCGGGGAGCCAGGACCAUUACCUUGAAAAAAUUAGAGUGUUUAAAGCGGGCAUUUGCUUGAAUAGAUUAGCAUGGAAUAAUAGAAUAGGACGUUGUGGUUCUAUUUUGUUGGUUUCUAGGACCACCGUAAUGAUUAAUAGGGAUAGUUGGGGGCAUUAGUAUUCAAUUGUCAGAGGUGAAAUUCUUGGAUUUAUUGAAGACUAACUAUUGCGAAAGCAUUUGCCAAGGAUGUUUUCAUUAAUCAAGAACGAAAGUUAGGGGAUCGAAGACGAUCAGAUACCGUCGUAGUCUUAACCAUAAACUAUGCCGACUAGGAAUCAGACGAUGUUAAUUUUUUAAUUACUCGUUUGGCACCUUACG